CCGCGAACCGGAGCCCAGCGGCGGAAUCCCACCAGCGCGGCCGAACCGGGCGGCGGCGGCGGCGGCGGCGGCAAUGCUCCCGAGCGCAGCACUUCCGGCCGCGGGCCCUCGGCAGCCUGCAGUGGGACAUAGCCGGCGGAAGGUCAUGGCUGGGCCGGGGCGCUUUCCUGGCGUGGGGGUGGAGGACCUGGGAGUGCUGACCUUUAACUUCCCAGCUACACUGAAAGCUCCAUGAGAAGAAAAUGGCUGCCUUUUUCACUGCUCUACCCUCAGGACCUUGUGUCUGGCACAAGUAGAUGAACAGUCAAUAUAAAUGUAUUGAAUGAAUGAAUAAAUGAAUAAGAAAAUA